rnacentral:rRNA from 1 species
UACAGAGGUCCCAAGCGUUGUUCGGAUUCACUGGGCGUAAAGGGUGCGUAGGUGGUGAGGUAAGUCGGAUGUGAAAGCUCGGAGCUCAACUCCGAAAUGGCAUUGGAAACUACCUUGCUCGAGGGUUGGAGGGGGACUGGAAUACUUGGUGUAGCAGUGAAAUGCGUAGAUAUCAAGUGGAACACCAGUGGCGAAGGCGAGUCCCUGGACAACUCCUGACACUGAGGCACGAAAGCGUGGGGAGCAAACAG